rnacentral:misc_RNA from 1 species
UCCGAGUUGCCCCUGGCAGUCCCCUUAGAGUCCCCGGCAUUACCCGCUGGCAACUAAGAGCAGGGGUUGCGCUCGUUGCGGCACUUAACCCAACAUCUCACGACACGAGCUGUCGACAGCCAUGCAGCACCUGUGUCGGCUCCCCUCGCGGGGUCGGGCCCCUUUCGGUUUCCUACCACCGACAUGUCAAACCCAGGUAAGGUUUUUCGCGUUGCGUCGAAUUGAACCACAUGCUCCACCGCUUGUGCGGGUCCCCGUCAAUUCCUUUGAGUUUCAAUCUUGCGAUCGUACUCCCCAGGUGGAAUACUUAACGCUUUCGCUUAGACGCGUACUGUGUAUCGCACACAUCGAGUAUUCAACGUUUACAGCGUGGACUAC